rnacentral:rRNA from 1 species
AUUGAACGCUGGCGGCAUGCCUUACACAUGCAAGUCGAACGGCAGCACGGGGGCAACCCUGGUGGCGAGUGGCGAACGGGUGAGUAAUGCAUCGGAACGUGCCCCGUCGUGGGGGAUAACACAUCGAAAGAUGUGCUAAUACCGCAUACGACCUGAGGGUGAAAGCGGGGGACCGCAAGGCCUCGCGCGAUGGGAGCGGCCGAUGUCUGAUUAGAUAGUUGGUGGGGUAAAGGCCUACCAAGGCGACGAUCAGUAGCUGGUCUGAGAGGACGACCAGCCACACUGGAACUGAGACACGGCCCAGACUCCUACGGGAGGCAGCAGUGGGGAAUGUUGGACAAUGGGGGCAACCCUGAUCCAGCCAUGCCGCGUGCGGGAAGAAGGCCUUCGGGUUGUAAACCGCUUUUGGCAGGAACGAAACGGUGCGGGCGAAUACCCUGUGCUAAUGACGGUACCUGCAGAAUAAGCACCGGCUAACUACGUGCCAGCAGCCGCCGUAACAC